GAUGAACGCUGGCGGCGUGCCUAAUACAUGCAAGUCGAGCGAACAGAUGAGGAGCUUGCUCCUCUGACGUUAGCGGCGGACGGGUGAGUAACACGUGGAUAACCUACCUAUAAGACUGGGAUAACUUCGGGAAACCGGAGCUAAUACCGGAUAAUAUAUUGAACCGCAUGGUUCAAUAGUGAAAGACGGUUUUGCUGUCACUUAUAGGUGGAUCCGCGCCGCAUUAGCUAGUUGGUAAGGUAACGGCUUACCAAGGCAACGAUGCGUAGCCGACCUGAGAGGGUGAUCGGCCACACUGGAACUGAGACACGGUCCAGACUCCUACGGGAGGCAGCAGUAGGGAAUCUUCCGCAAUGGGCGAAAGCCUGACGGAGCAACGCCGCGUGAGUGAUGAAGGUCUUCGGAUCGUAAAACUCUGUUAUCAGGGAAGAACAAAUGUGUAAGUAACUAUGCACGUCUUGACGGUACCUAAUCAGAAAGCCACGGCUAACUACGUG
rnacentral:rRNA from 1 species